UUUAUAUUUUGAAGAUGAUGUCUUCCUUAUGCAAGAUUAGCAUUUUAAGCUAAAUCAUAUUGGAUUUUGAGUCAGGCCCAGGCCACCACCACCACCAGCACCACCAUCAUCAUCUCUAUUUUAAAACUAUUCUAUCCUUUUAUCUCCGAUCAAAUCAGCGGUGCUGCUCGUCUUGGUCGACUUUCGCUGUGGCUCCGUGUAAUCACAUUACAGAGGGCAAAGGGAUUUGGAAGAGGCAUCAUUUCCACUUUGACUGUGGCUAUCAAAUGGCCCCUGCAUGGCUGCAACACUCAGGGUGGAAGAAAAUAGGCUGCGCUCUAUAAAAAUGAAGUUAUAUGUAAGUACAGCACUCAAAUCUGGGGGGGGGG